rnacentral:rRNA from 1 species
UACAGAGGGUGCGAGCGUUGUCCGGAAUCACUGGGCGUAAAGGGCGCGUAGGUGGCGCGACAAGUCAGUGGUGAAAGUUCGACGCUCAACGUCGAAUCGGCCACUGAUACUGUUGGGCUUGAGCACUGUAGAUGCUAAUGGAAUUCCGGGUGUAGCGGUGGAAUGCGUAGAGAUCCGGAAGAACACCGGUGGCGAAGGCGGUUAGCUGGGCAGUUGCUGACACUGAGGCGCGACAGCGUGGGGAGCAAACAGG